rnacentral:lncRNA from 10 species
GCAGUUCCCCAGGAAACAGCUUCCGGCAGACACUCAAUCUCCAGUUGUAACAGGUGGUGUGGAGUCCGCUGUCCCAGGGAGUGGGCUCAAGGCCUAGUCCUGCCAAUGAACUUGCUGUAGAAACUUUUCUGUCUAUCAAAUGAGCUUCUCCAUUUCCACCUUUGCAAACUCUGGACUCCAAGGACGCAAGAUGGCCGGAAACAAGAUGGUGGAGAUGGAGUCCCCCUCUGUCACCCAGGCUAGAGUGCAGCCUGAUUCUACAACUUGGCCAUGUGAUCCUGAGCAAAUUACAUUCCCGUUUCAGUUUUCCCUCUUCAACAACAACAAAAAAGCGUUGGAUUAAGUAAUGAUUAAAACUCCUUUCUGCUGGGCGCGGUGGCUCAUGCCUAUAAUCCCAGCACUUUGGGAGGCCGAGGCAGGCGGAUCACAAGGUCAGGAGUUCGAGACCAUCCUGGCUAAUAUGGUGAAACCCCAUCUCUACUAAAAAUACAGAAAAAUUAGCCUGUAGUCCCAGCUACUUGGGAGGCUGAGGCAGGAGAAUGGCGUAAAACCCGGGAGGCGGAGCUUGCGGUGAGCCGAGAUCGCGCCACUGCACUCCAGCCUGGGAGACAGAGCGAGACUCCGUCUCAAAAAAAAAAAAAAAAAACACUUCCUAGAGUUCUACUGUCAUCUUUUAUUUUUCACCAAUCCUCUAGAUUCUUUUUUUAUUUUCUUCUAAAAGGAACAAAAGUCCGCCAGGCACGGUGGAUCACACCUGUAAUCCCAGCACUUUCGGAGGCCGAGGCGAGCGGAUCACCUGAGGUUGGGAGUUCGAGACCAGACUAACCAACGUGGAGAAACCCCAUCUUGACUAAAAAUACAAAAUUAGCUGGGUAUGGUGGCACAUGCCUGUAAUCCCAGCUACUCGAGAGGCUGAGGCAGGAGAAUCACUUGAACCCAGGAGAUGGAGCCUUCAGAGAGUCAGACCGCACCACUGCACUCCAGCCUGGGCGACAGAGCAAGACUCCUUCUCAAAAAAAAAAAAAGAAAGAAAGAAAGAAAAAGAAAAACGCCUAGACCUGGAAUUUGCAGGGGAAAGAGCAAGACUGUCUCAAAAAAGGACUUAGAGGAUCAGAGAAGAGUCACCAGUCAGAUUGAGAAACCAAGCACAUCCAACUGCUGGAGUAAAACUGCAAAAGGGAGGUGGUGGAGAGGUCUCUGGGAAGCAGUUCUUUGUGAGUCUACAGCCAAGAACCUAGUCAUGGGCCUAAGCCAACUUUUGGAAAGCAGGCCAACAGUUAGAAAAAAGAGCUAGAGGUCAGGCGCAGCGGCUCACGCCUGUAAUCCCAGCACUUUGGGAGGCUGAAGCGGUUGGGUCACCUGAGGUCAAGAGUUUGAGACCAGCCUGGCCAACAGGUUGAAACCCAGUCUCUACUAAAAAUACAAAAGUUAGCCGGCAUGGUGGUGUGCGCCUGUAGUCCCAGCUACUUGGGAGGCUGAGGCAAGAGAAUUGCUUGAAUCUGGGAGGCGGAGGUUGCAGUGAGCCGAGAUAGUGCCACUGCGCUCCAGCCUGGGUGACAGAGCAAAACUACAUCUGAAAAAGAAAAAAAGCUAGAGGUAGUAUAGGAGAGAGCAGAGAGCAGUCCUGAAAACAGACAACCAUAAUCCAGUUUGAUAGCUGUUUCAACAGGGUAAACACAAAGGUGCAAUGGGAGCCCUAAGGGGUUUCAGAAUCCAGUCUAGAAAUCAAGGAAGGUGGUUGGGUGCGGUGACUCAUGCCUGUAAUCCCAGCACUAAUGGGAGGCCAAGGCGGGCAGAUCACUUGAGCUCAGGAGGUUGAGACCAGCUGGACAACAUGGUGAAACCCCGUCUCAACUAAAAAUACAAAAAUUAUCUGGGCAUGUUUGUGGGUGCCUGUAAUCUCAGCUACUCAAGAGGCUGAAUCGUUUGAAUCCAGGAGACGGAGGUUGCAGUGAGCCAAGAUCGCACCACUACACUCCAGCCUGGGUGAUAGAGCGAGACUCCAUCUCAAAAAAAAAAAAAGAAAAGAAAUCAAGGAAGGCCUCUUGGGGGAGAAAACAUUUGAGUUGAGACCUGACGAAGGAGGAGACAGCCACAUGAAAUGGGGGAGGAGGGAGAGAAAUUAGCAUACGCAAAUGUCUGGAGGUAAUAUAGGAUAUUGUCAGAGGUGUUAGAACCAGAGCGACUCCAUCUGGAAUAGGGGCUGGGUAAAAUGUGGAUGAGACCCAACGGGCUUCAUUCCCAGGAGGUUAGGCAUUCUUUCUCACAGGUUGAGAUAAGAGGCCAGCAGGAUUCCUAUCACAAGAUACAGGUCAUUGAGACCCUGCUGACAAAACAAGAGGUAGUAAAGAAGCAGGUCAAAAGCCAUCCAAACCAAGAUGAUAACAAAAUCGACCUCUGGUUGUCCUCACUGCUCAUUAUACACUAAUUAGCAUGCGAAAAGACACUCCCACCAGAGUCAUGACAAUGUCCAGAAGCUACCCUAUAUGAUCUAAAAAGAAGAGAAACCCUCACUUCCAGGAGCUCCCCAACCCUGCCCUGGAAAACUCAUGAAAAAUUCACCCCUUGUUUAGCACAUAAUUAGGAAGUAUCCAUAAAUACACUCAGUCAAGCAGCCCAUGCUGCUGCUCUGCCUACAGAAUAGCCA